rnacentral:siRNA from 1 species
UUGAUUCUUGGAUUUCAACU